AGUUAUCAGAUGAUGUAACAGUGCAGGGAGCAUGUAGCUUAACCCCCCAUUCUGAUUGAUAUAUAAUUUUAUAUUUUACAUGAUGGAGUGGGAUCUGAAUGUGCUUGUGGGUAUCGAUGAUUAGGCUCAUAUUCAAUCCCUAGAAAAAGUGUGACAGCUGGGACUAAGAGACUAGCCAUGUGUGCCAUUCUACUUCUGAGCCUUGACUGCAAUUUUAAGAUGUUCCAAAAGGUCAGCUUAACAUUCUAUUCUACUAAAAUGUUUUCGUGGCAGGAACCCCACACAGCAUCAACCAGAAGAGACGCAUUUCAGGCAUUAAAAUAGCCCCAGAGAACAGGUCAUUGGAAGGUCAGAAAUGGUACCAAUCCGUUUUUUUUUGUCUGCCGAUAUUUCUGUCAGAGUCGGGCUUUGUUUGUGAUCAGUUUCAGAUCAUUGUGUCGAUCAGAACCUUAAGCAGGCAGUCCAUUUGCCGCCUAAUCACAGAUAGCACAAGAUUAACAUUGCAUAUAAAAGUUCUUGACAACAUGGUCAAUUCAUUCCUGGUGACAUGGCCAUCCAACAGAAGAAAAAAAAUUGAUAUUGCUGAUCAACGAAACAGUUCUGGACCCAGAUUGGUCAGGGAAUCAG
rnacentral:lncRNA from 7 species